GGAUGGCUAGGAAAAAGCUCUCGUUACUUUUUGGCAAUACGUUUGAAGUUCAUUUGAACAAUUCUCUCUGGACUUUUGGGUACACCUUUCUUCAUAAGAAGUACUAUGGGAGGCAUUACGCCAGGAGUUAGCCAAGCUAUAAAUUAAGCAGGAGAAAGGUGAGAGAAAGACUAACUACUACCGGGUAGUGUACAGGCAGGCGUUCAUGACACAACGAUAUCGCUGAUUUAUUGUGGUCAUUUAAUUGUCACUUAAAACUAGUAAAAGGUCUUGUUAGUCCUUAUGCCUAGAGCAAGUUAAUACAAUAGGUAUGCUGCUCGUUGCAAACUGCUAUCGACAUUUCAGGGGGCAUUUGUGAUGUAAGAAUGUAACAUCCAAACUUUCAAACUUUGUGUUAAUUCCUUUAAUACAUCAAGCAACCAGUGUUUGGUUUGCUAGGAAUCAGUUGAUAGACUCUACGGUGCAAACGUUUGUUACUAAGGGUUGGCACCCUAAUUGGCUCAUCAAGUGAACAACUGUCAAACUCCAUACAAAACCAGUAAGGAAAGGCAAAAGACGGGCGGAGCCGACUAAAUAAUACCCUACACCUAUCCUACAAUUAUAAAUUCGGGCAAUAUACAAAUAUAUAUGUAUAUGAGAGCUAUAUCUAAACCUGAACCGACUUUCAAACAGAUCGUUUGAAAAUUGUUGUUACUACGGCCAUAUAAGUGCAAAUCCGGCGAUAAAAAUGUAUGGGUGCUACAUCCGAUUUUGAUGAAAUCUCGCAGAUAUGUUAAGAUCAGUAACAAAACAAUCCAUGCCAAAUUUUGUGCAUAUUCUGCGUUUUAUCGUUAAUCAAUGUUGCAGAUAUAGACAGCAGGGAUGGAAAAUGCAAAAUUUUUAUUAAAACUGUACUUUUUGGACGGAAAGAGUACUUUUUGUUUUGAAUUUAAAAAAAUAUAUAUUUUUUUAAAAAAUA